GAGUGAUAAACGCAGACAAUACUCAGCGAUUAGAGAAGGAUUUGAGUGGUUGUUAUAUAAGCUGUGUCUCAUUUAGAAGGCUGCACCCUCCGGAGGUCGAAUCCUCUGGAGGUCGCAUCCUCUGUAGGAUGCAUAUACGAAGUGUCCUCAACCUAGAAUUAAACGAGACGGCCUUCGUAGGACAGGCGAAAAAGGAAACCAGAAGUAUCGCGUUGCUAUGCCAACACAUUUAGAGCAUCGUUGCGCUCUCACACUGCUUAAAUGAAGGAAAAUUAUUUCUAAAUUUGGAAAGUAAUUUGAAAAAAAAAUGCUUUUACUUGUUAUAUUUUGUUCAAUGUUUGAGGAGCUGCAGCGUACGUACAGCAGGCAUCUAUUAGAGAAAAAAAGGAGGAGGAUAUUAAAAACAAGUUUAUCCGUUUUUACCGAGGCGAAUUAAGGUAAGUUGUAAACACAUAUGCGCUUGUGUGUACGUUGCAUCUGCCGGCACCGGCCUUUUUCAAAUGAACAACGGUUGUUCACGGCGACGCAAAGAAUUGUGGGUUAUCUUUAGCAGUGAAGGAUACACCUCAUGCAUCCUCCGAAAUCCUGUGAAAGAAGGUCGCAUUCGAAGGUCGCAUUCGGAGUGUCCUACUUGCUUUUCUGAAAUGAGACAGCCUCGAUGACGUAUGCAGCCUUCGAAUGCGACCUCCGGAGGACGACGCAGCCUUCUUCACAGCUACAGUGUGUGUGUGAUUGGCUGCAGGUGAGACCAAUCAUUGCAAUGGAGCAUGGGAAAUGUAGUCCAGGGUGACGUGCAACAGUUUAUGUGGUGUGAGAGACAAUGUAAUCAGAAGGUGACCUCUGGUGGCGAGCAGGCGGAAGACCCCGGACCGGAUUCGUGACACGAUGAUCUUGAUGGGGGUCGUAUCUCAAUACCUGCUUACUCGGCUGGUGAGUUUUUCUUUGGGAGAUGAGGGUGUGGAUACUGUUGAAGAGGCUCUUUCAUGGAUUCCACUUCUCAUUGAUUUUUAUCGGCUGUCCAGAGCUGAGGUGAUUUUAGAGGUCCGUACUAACAAAGUCAGCCUGAGAGACAGAAACAACCAGCUGUGUCCUCUCUUUUCUGCGACUGCAUAAACUCAGAGCUGCACCCAGAAGAAGCCAACCAUGUGUUUCUUCAGCUGCGCAUCUGUCAAAGUGAGAUGAGCUUCAUUGCAGCAAUCACUGUUAAUUCCUGAUUCAGA
rnacentral:lncRNA from 1 species